GAUCUGUUUUCCUGACCUUUUGGAUAGACUUUGGCCUUGCAUUCAGUCAAGAAUUAAAAAGAUUACCUAAAAGCCUAUGCUCCUCAGUGCUUUUCACCAUGAGAGCUCAAUAAAUACUUGAAAGCAGAUCACUGACUGGUGAAGAAAAUAUACUUUCAAGAAAGUAUGAAAAAUUCCCAUUGGAAAGAUCAGUGAUGAGCUGGCACCUUUGGAGAGAGGAAAAUAUUCUAUGCAAGUGAGGAUUCAAAUUCCCAUCAGCGAUUGUGUUGGUGAUGUAAAUGUGUGUGUCAGAGACCAUGAUGUCUUCACCCUGUCCCAGCUGCCUGUGUCAGCUCUUGCACAGAUCUGUGCCAUCACUCUGCCAAGGCUGGAGAGAGCUGGGUGCCAGCUGAGGAGUCCAGAGAGGAAUACUGUGGGUGUCUGCUGGGAAGCUGGAGGCACAGAGCUGUGCAGCAGGAAAGGGGGAGAGUGCAAGCAGGUACUGCUCACCCAGCACAACAGGCCCUGCCACUGUCAUCACCUGUCGUGCUGCAUGGGAAGGAAUUCAGAUACUGGCUGUAAGGUCACUGCACAGCUCACUGUGGGCUCCUGAGCCUCACCUGGCACCUGCUACUGCUGUAGUACAAGUAGCAGUGGUGGGCACAGGGAAUAGGGCAGAAUUUUUUUCUCUUAUACUGUUUUGAGUCUUUAAUGUCAAUUAUGGCAACAAAUAUCUGCAGUUUAGGAGUGCUCCAUGUGUCUACCCUAGUGAUGAACUACAAAGAGA